rnacentral:RNase_P_RNA from 1 species
AAUGCAAGCUGUCUUAUCGCUCCGAUUUAUCGGGGAGGAAAGUCCGGACAACGCAGAGCAUCGUACUUCUUAACGGGAAGGUAUCCCGACUUGUCGGGGUAACAGAUAGUGCCACAGAAAAUAAACUACCCCGAUUUGUCGGGGAAAGGUGAAAAGGUGGAGUAAGAGCCCACCGCUUUGAUGGUGACAUCAAAGGCCAGGCAAACCUUACGAGUUGAAAGAUCAAAUAGGUCACGGGUUGCUCGCUGAUGCUUAGGCAUACGUGAUGGGUAGGUCGCUAGAUUCUUACGGUAACGUAAGGACCAGAUAAAUGAUAAGGACCCCACUUGUUGGGGAACAGAAUCCGGCUUACAGGCUUGCAUUUUUU